rnacentral:lncRNA from 1 species
GCUCCUGCUGCCAAAGCGGGAAACGGCAUGUCUGCCGUACAAGGACGGGGGUGUCAACCACGUCGACCUGCCUGCGUUCCUGUCUGCCCUGCAAGCUAAGACUUUCGCCCUCCUUGCCCAGCCAGGCCGGCAACCCUGGAAGAUGCUCACCCGGGCGCUGCUUACCCAUGUGCGCCCGGACUCCGCCACCACGUGGGCGUGGGUGUACAGCGACGCGCCGGCGCCAGC